AGUAUUCCAGUUGCUUGGUCGUAAUACUUGUGUCUGUAAUACUCUUUACCGUAUUUUGUAUUUUCUUCAAUAAGUUCUGUUAAAACUUUAUCAAAUUUUUGCAGACAUUCUGGUGGUAUUUCUUUCUUAUCGUCGCCAAAAAUAACUCGUCUUUCCUCGCAUUUAACAUUUAGUUUCGCAACUUCCGGUGCUGCUGCAAUCAUCUCGUUCAAGAGAGAUUCGUCAUUUUCUAAUUUGGUUACCACAAGGAUCAUAUACCUAAACGAACUUUCACCUAACAUCUUGUCAAGGGUUUUCAGCAUUUGUAGAUCUUCGUUUGUGAUUCUUUCAGCAGCCGACAAAACAAGAACAAUGGCGUGGAAACCCGGAGACGUACAGAAUAAACAUCGACGAAUUUCAGUUUCUACAUCAAUUUCAUUACUGAUAUUCUUAGAUUCAGCAGACGCAGACGGCUUCUCUUUUUGCAUGGCAGCUUCUUGUGACUGACGGCCGUCUGUUUUAAGAUUAAUAAAUGUACAUUUAAAAAUAAAUAUCUAUCUUCGAAAAAUACUCUAAUAGAAAUUUAUAAAUCAUUUUAUGUAGAAAUUUACUCACCCGACUUUCCUCCACCAGCUUUUUGCGAAUCCAUAUCAUCCAUGAAAUCUGUUAAUAUGAUUUGAAAAAGACAAAAAAUUUCUAAGAUAGUUUUUUUGAGUGUGCAUACCCGAAUUUACUCACCGAGUAUCUUGCGUAGCAAUAUUACCCAUAAAAUGUGUAAACAUGUGAUCUACUUUAUUUGAUAAAAGACAAAGUGCUUGAAAUUCUAUAACAAUUUUUAUGUAAAAACAUACACACCAGAAGAAUUUUCUAUGUCAUCUUCUUUUGCAGCCAUAUUGCCCAUCAAAUCUGCGAACAUAAGGUCCAAC
rnacentral:sRNA from 1 species